rnacentral:tRNA from 1 species
GGAAUGUGGCUCAGUGGUAGAGUUCUUGGCUAGCAUAAGUGAGGCAGCAGAUGAGGCCCUGGGUUCAAUUCCCAGCACCA